CCUACGGGUGGCAGCAGUGGGGAAUAUUGCACAAUGGGGGAAACCCUGAUGCAGCGACGCCGCGUGAGUGAAGAAGUAUUUCGGUAUGUAAAGCUCUAUCAGUAGGGAAGAAAAUGACGGUACCUGAUUAAGAUGCCCCGGCUUACUACGUGCAAGCAGCCGUGGUAAUACGUAGGGAGCAAGCGUUAUCCGGAUUUACUGGGUGUAAAGGGAGCGUAGACGGGAGCACAAGUCUGGAGUGAAAUGCCGAGGCGAAACCGCGGAAUUGCAUUGGAAACUGUGCAGCUAGAGUGCAGGAGAGGUAAGUGGAAUGCCUGGUGUAGCGGUGAAAUGCGUAGAUAUUAGGAGGAACACCAGUGGCGAAGGCAGCUUACUGGACUGUAACUGACGUUGAGGCUCGAAAGCGUGGGUAGCAAACAGGAUUAGAUACCCCUGUAGUC
rnacentral:rRNA from 1 species